ACCUGUGGCUGUGGGCUUUCCAAUUGAAUCCGUCUCCAAGCAGAUUCAGAAUACAGGCAGGGACACACCGAACGAUGGAGGGAGAGAGACCAGGAGAAAUGCUAAGAACGAUGGCUCUGCCUUCUUCUUCUUCUUCUUCUCAGCGUCUCAACACAGAAAAACAAAUCUUCUUUUUACUCGCAUUCUUUGAGCUUUCUCCUCUGCAAUGCGGAAACAAUAGCACUGAUAUUAAUGUAGCCUCUCUCGAUCAAAAACCGUCUCGAAACUUGCUCUCCUUCAAGUCGUAGCUGCGUGUAUCUAGCUAUCCCGGAGUCUCCUUCUUCGUUUUGCGUGUAAGAGCAUCUAAAUUGUUAAGGAUGGAUGGAAAUUUGGCGGGAUCUGGCACAUCUCCAAAAAUGUCACCAGCCAACAUCGCAGUUGCUGAGCAAUUUGCACUGGAGUGAGUUAACAAUGACAAAAGAAGAAUGCUUCAUGUUGUUUAUGGUGUUGAUGACUUGGAGAAGACAAUAAACUAUGUUGAUUUAUUUAUUCCUCAGUUCACACUUUUACUUCAGGGAUAAAGGGUCUGUAAAUGUUUCUAAUUUGACUUCGGAUAUUACACUGAAUGCUAGCGGAUGAAGCUGUCAAGCAAACUUGACAUACCAGAGGAGAGCCAUUGAAAUGCUUUUGUUGGAUCUGGACCUGAAAAUUCUCAUUUUACUGUUGAACUCACUUAUAAGAAUUCUUAGCCUUCUUCAGUUUCUUUUCAUCUUUUGUUGUAUUUGUAAGUAUGCGGUAGCCAUAAUGGUAUAUGGUCCAGAAGAUAAAAAUUUUGUGCUGGAACUGACAUAAUUAUAUAGGACAAAGGAAUGGUCAGUACAAAGAUUGCAACAAAUGAUUUAUGCAAGAGCGCCAAAUGCCAAAACAAUUAAGCUGUGUGGAGGAAGCAUCAUUCAUGAACCUGGAUCUCUACCAGGGAUUAAUAACAAGAUUACCGCAUGCUGGGACCCUGAUGGUUGGAAAUCAGUAUGAACUUUUGGAGGCGUUUUCUUGAAUUUUCAAACUGACUUAGUGUUUGCAUUUAUUUUCCUUUUGUAACCUUUUUAAAAGUCCUCUCAUACCAUUGGCAUCAGUACUUAUUACUUUGGUUGAAUUCAGGUUUUCCAGACAACUUAGAUGUUUUAUAGAUGUUCAGCAACUGUGUGAGGAAUGCCAUCUGUGAUAUAAUCAUCAUUGCAGUAGGAAUUAAAGUAAGAAUAGAUUUUAAAAUCUUAUGGGCUUGAGCUUUUUGUAGAAUUGUAGAUAUCAAUUCUGAGUGCAGCCUUGAUAGAGUCAACGCAAGGCUGUAUUAGUGGAACAUGUUUCAUGCUCUAGUAAGGAAAUUGUUCCAAAAAUUCCAUAUUCGCUGAUGUUUAUAUAUGCUAGCUGGUAACAACAGAACAAAACUCCUAUUUCAAUCAAUCAUUAAUUGUAGAUUUUCAUAUGAAGCCAUCAACUUAAUAUUCAUAGUUUGUUUUCUUUUUCUUAUCUGUAUGGCAGUAACUCUUUUGAUUUUUUUUUUAAAUAUUUUUAUUUUUAUUUUUAUUCAUUGGGAUUAACCUUGUAAUUUCUUUCCCCCUCUUACUCAAUCCUGUUGGUAGAUUCUUAAGUCCUUCGGCUUGUUGCCUUUUACGAAGUAGCCAUUUUCUCACAAGAAAUAGCCCAUGCUAGAAUGUUCCUAUGGCCAUUCUCAUUCAAAAGCCCCCUCCCUCCUGCAGCUUUAUACACCACUCAAAUAAUUGUUAAGUUCAUUUAUAUUUUCAAGGAAAUCUAAGAUAUACAUUUUUGUUAAUCACUUUGCAAAGUCAAAGGCUAGUUUUGCAGCAAUUGAAAGUUGCCUCCAAUUUUAUAUUGGUAUGGCAAUUGAGCAUAUGCUGAAUCCCAUCAGUCCACAUCCGUUUUUCAUCUUUACUUCUGCACUCAAACUCUAUCACUCUUUCAGCUGUUUUUAUCCCAAAGUAAGAUCUUUGCUCGUUGCAGUCUUCUUUCUCCCUUCCGGGCCAUGCGGGUGUGUCACUGUAUACUCCAGACACUAUGCCUGUAAUCAAGGCAAGGGCUGACUCAGUGGAUGGGGAAGAUAGAGAGGUAUUUAUUAGCUUUGGGUUUGAGAGUUUGCUUACACUUCUUCUUUUUUGUGAAUGUUCCUGCCAUGUGCUUGCUUUUCAUUUUGGCUACCACCUGUUUAUUUACAAAUUUUCAUCAGUACUCUGAUUUUUUCUGGGAAUAAAAGUACACAGAAAAAGAAGUUUUGAUCUAUUUAAUUAUUUAGCUGAACUUCCUGGAGGUAUUUUUCAUUUUGUUUAAUGUAAUUAUGUGGUUUAAGUAUUUCCUGCUUUACCUGCCAAUUUGAAUUGAUGUUAAAAGAAACUUGCUUCCAGUGGAGAGCUCCUGCCAUCAAAAUUUUGGCGGUGAGUGUUAGUUGCUUCUUGUUUAUGGAUUUUGUCAAUGUGACUUUACAAUUUUAUGGAAAUCCUUCUGUUAUCAAUGUGAAAUAUGUACCUUUCCUAGUGCGCUUGAGAAGUUCUCCCCCUCUAGUCACAAAGUUUAGCGCUGCCAAGAUGUUAGAUUCUUUGCCUUCUUCGCCCUUUUCCUCCACCAGAGCAAAGGCUGUACUUCCAUGUCCCUUUUGCAGUCUCGCUUUUAGAGCGUUAGCUCCUCGUAAGGCUGUUUGUGUAAAUUUCCAAUAGAAUUAGACAACACAUAUUGGAACAUUUCAACGAAAAAUCGUUGAUUCAUAGUGUUCAUCUUCUUCCUGCCAUUCUCAUUGUAGCAGUUCAAUUUGUAUUCAUUUUCAAUCCCGAGUUUAUUUCAUACUGGAUGGUUAGUGUACCCAGAAGGAUGACUGAUAUUUUUUACCAAAAUUUCCAGCAGAAGAAUUUAGUGAAGAUGUUGGGUUUUGCUAAAUUUGGUUAAGCUUUUAUUAAUUAAGCAUAUGAAGCAUAGAACCACCUAAUUUAGUAGCAAUUUAAUGAUUUUGAUGAUACCUGUAGCUGCUCCAGCUGUUAGAGUCAUGAUAUCUCCACUAGUCCUUGCAUUUACAGCAGAGUUGACAACUGUUAAGAUUUGAUCAUGAUCAGCACCCAUUUCCUCUGCAAUCUCAAUACAGUGAGAUGCUACUAGAGCUGCAGCUGAAGCCAUUGCAGCUGGUGUCUUGGAAUGUGUCUUUUGACAGGUUGAAGCCAUUUCCACUGACAUCACAUUUGAGGCAGCUAGAGCUGCAACAGCUGCAGCAACCCCUGCAACAGAUACAGCUGCAUGGAGUUGUGCAUUAUUAGUUCUAAUCUCCUGCUUCUUCCUCUCCUUUUGAUCCUUCAACCAUCUUCCCAUUGUUCUCCCUUUAAUUAUGCUCUUGUAUAUCUGCACAGCAGUAAGGUCAAUGGGAAUGACACUAACACUGUUAAUUAUUUGACAUUAUUGAAUAAUGAGAUACCCCAGUUCUGAGCAGCUGUUGACUUGAAAGGAAUUCUGGGUUGAGUGCUUGAUGAAGUAAAAUUAAUUCCUGCAUAGAUUAUAUGGUCAUUAGAAGCAAUGUCUUGUUAAACAGUUCUUUUCUAUUGAAUGCUUGAUUCUAAUAGAUACAGGCUUGAGUUCCUUUGAAAAGUUGCAGAUAGGGGCAUAUUGGCUGUCUAGCCGGUGAAAACAGAGAAGGAAACUGAAAAUACCUUCAUUUCUUCACUCUCCCUUGGAGAUAUUGGAGGGCUACCCUUAGCACCAUUAGAGCUGAAGGAUCUUACAGGUUCCUUGGGAGCUGUAGCACUUGCAUCUUGCUCUUCAGCUUGAGCAGAAAGCAAAGGUGACUUCUCAACAUUUUCAGAAGCUCCAUGUGUGUUAGAAAGAGCUUUGGAGAGCUCCAUGGCUGAAAGGCUCCAUGAUCUAGCAAGAAACUCCAUGGUCUCAAUAGGAGUUUCAGGUGCAUCACACGAGACUUGUUGCCAAAGAGCAGGUCCAUUUUCAUCUAUGUUCUCCAGCUUUUGAGAUAAGCUCUUUGUGCUGCUAGAGCUCACUGAAUCACACCAACCCAUGAAAAGAACACAUAUGAUUAGUUUCCAUUUACACUUAAAAAAAAAGCUAGCUUUAUAGUAUCAUAAGAGAGAAGCCUACUUCUGAGAUUUUUAUCUCCACAAGGUUCAGACUCCUCUGCAGUUUGGGCUGUGGUGCAAGUUCUCAUGCUAAGAGAGGAAAAAACAGAGCAAGAAAGCAAGAGAAGCUAAUGAACAAGAGGAGAAUAGUUGGAUAUUUAAGUGGGGAAAUGAAGUGAAAUUGCUUAUUUCUUUAAUGGGGAAAAUGAAAGUGAAGGAAAAAGUGAAGAUUUAAUAUUAUAUAGUAGAGAAAGGGCCCCCUGUUAAAGGGCAGUUUAUCUUUGUCCUCUACUUGCAGUAUAUGCUUUAGAUCUCCACUCCUUUGUGUUCUGCACAUAAAGAGCUAAAGAUUAUUUUUCCUA